ACAUUUUGCGAGGAAAGUCCCCGUGCCUUGGGGCAGAGAGUGUCGGCGGGAGGCCGCAGGGCCGGGGCGCCGUCGCCGGCGGCGCCGCGGAGCUCAUGCGAGCGGCGCGGCGGCGCCUGCGCAGCGCAGCUCGGGCGGCGGCGGCGGAGGAGGCGAAGGACAUGCCGCCGCCCU
rnacentral:RNase_MRP_RNA from 1 species